UAAUAAAGUUAUUGAGUUAUAAAUAAGAAUUCUACUGUAUUAAAAAAAUUUAGUUGAAUGCUGAUUCACAUAAAGUCCUCAUAAAGGACUUUUGCAGAUGAAAACUUGCACAAUCUGAAAAAUAUUCUUUAACAAUAAGUAAUAUUUUAAUCUUCCUAUUGUCAUUGGUCUACAGUGUGUGCAUACAGGUCCCAAUGAUGCCCUACCACUGCCCUCUCAUUUGUUUUACUUUCAAGCUAAAUACAGCUCACAACCUGUUAAUAGUUGUACAAAUCAGAGUUUCAUUACCAGUGUUUAUUUAAAUAG